GAUGAAGAACGUAGCAAAAUGCGAUAAGUAAUGUGAAUUGCAGAAUUCAGUGAAUCAUCGAAUCUUUGAACGCACAUUGCGCCCGCCAGUAUUCUGGCGGGCAUGCCUGUUCGAGCGUCAUUUCAACCCUCAAGCACAGCUUGGUGUUGGGACUCGCGUUAAUUCGCGUUCCUCAAAUUGAUUGGCGGUCACGUCGAGCUUCCAUAGCGUAGUAGUAAAACCCUCGUUACUGGUAAUCGUCGCGGCCACGCCGUUAAACCCCAACUUCUGAAUGUUGACCUCGGAUCAGGUAGGAAUACCCGCUGAACUUAAGCAUAUCAAUAAGCGGAAGA
rnacentral:misc_RNA from 1 species